rnacentral:rRNA from 1 species
UGGGGAAUAUUGGACAAUGGGCGCAAGCCUGAUCCAGCCAUGCCGCGUGAGUGAUGAAGGCCCUAGGGUUGUAAAGCUCUUUCACCGGUGAAGAUAAUGACGGUAACCGGAGAAGAAGCCCCGGCUAACUUCGUGCCAGCAGCCGCGGUAAUACGAAGGGGGCUAGCGUUGUUCGGAAUUACUGGGCGUAAAGCGCACGUAGGCGGACAUUUAAGUCAGGGGUGAAAUCCCAGAGCUCAACUCUGGAACUGCCUUUGAUACUGGGUGUCUUGAGUAUGGAAGAGGUAAGUGGAAUUCCGAGUGUAGAGGUGAAAUUCGUAGAUAUUCGGAGGAACACCAGUGGCGAAGGCGGCUUACUGGUCCAUUACUGACGCUGAGGUGCGAAAGCGUGGGGAGCAAACAGG